UGGCUCAUGCCUGUAAUACCAGCACUGUGGGAGGUCGAGGGGGGCGGAUCAUGAGGUCAGGAGAUCCAGAGCAUCCUGGCUAACACGGUGAAACCCCGUCUCUACUAAAAAUACAAAAAAUUAGCCGGGUGUGGUGGCGGCCGCCUGGGCUGGGGCUAGAAAGGAGACCUCCAGCUGUCCCAGUGGAAACUGAAGCCGAGUGUCGGUGCUGCAUUUGGCUUCAAGAUCGAGAAUCAGAGCCUUUGAAAUGGAAAGGGGGCAUCUGAAAGGGCACCCCCACCAGGGGCUUUUCAGAGCUAAGGCUCCAGAAGGAAGGGGUCGCCCUGCUAGUGACAGAGCUGGGAGUCACUCUGAGCUGCAGCCCCCACAGGAUCCCCCUGUGGGAGGCCCCAUCUGACCCUCUCCAGCCCAUGGCUCUCUGCAACUGCCACCUAUACUCAGGUAUAUGGCUUUGCUGC
rnacentral:lncRNA from 1 species